UUUCAGAUCUGGUGGGAGUUCACAUCAGUGAUUCAACUAUACAGACACCUUCUAUAGCAGUGGGUUUGACUCCAGGUCCUAGAUCUACUUUGCCUCCCAGCACGACAGAGAGUCCGACAGAAGACACCACAGUGACACCAACUACCAGUUUGACCUCCCCUUUGACCCCUAGCACGGCUGUGAAUCCUUCAUCAGGGUCGACUGUUUGCUGUACUUUGACCACUGACACCCCAGCGAGUCCAACUGAAAGU